rnacentral:rRNA from 1 species
AGAGUUUGAUCCUAGCUCAGAAGAAACGCUAGCUAUAUGCUUAACACAUGCAAGUCGAACGUGUUUUCGGGGAGCUGGGCAGAAGGAAAAGAGGCUCCUAGCUACAAGUAGCUUGUAUCGCCCAAGAGGUGAGAAAAGUUGAGAACAAAGUGGAGAAUGGGUGCCUAACGCGUGGGAAUCUACCGAACAGUUCGGGCCAAAUCCUAAAGAAAGCUAAAAAGCGCUGUUUGAUGAGACUUUGUAGUAUUAGGUAGUUGGUCAGGUAAAGGGUGACCAAGCCAAUGAUGCUUAGCUGGUCUUUUAGGAUGAUCAGCCACACUGGGAUUGAGACACGACCCAGACUCUGACCGNUAUCGUGUGAGUGAAGAAGGGCAAUGCCUUUUGUAAAUCUCUUUCGUCGAGUGCGCGAUCAUGACAGGACUCGAGGAAGAAGCCCCGACUAACUCUGUGCCAGCCGCUGCGGUAAGACGGGGGAGGGGGGAGGGGUUAGGUGUUCUUCGUAAUUACUGGGCGUAAAGGGCACGUACACGGUAAAUCAGGUUAAAAGUGAAAGCCGCCAAAAACGGUCGGAAUGCUCUCAAAACCAGAGGAUAGUGGAAUUUCAUUUGUAGGGGUGAAAUCCGGAGAUCUACGAAGGAACGCCAAAAGCAAAGGCAGCUCUCUAGGUCCCUACCGAUACUGAGGUGCGAAUGCAUGGGGAUCAAACACGAUUAGAUACCCUGGUAGUCCAUGCCAUAAACGAUGAGUGUUCUCCCUUAGUCUACACAUAUCAGGGGUCCAGCUAACGCGUGAAACACUCCACCCGGGGACUACAGUCGCAAGACCGAAACUCAAAAGAAUUGAUGGGGGCCUGCACAAGUGGUGGAGCAUGUGUUUUAAUUCGAUACAACAUGCAAAACCUUACCAUCCCUUGACAUAUAAACAAGAAAACCUGUCCUUAACGAGAUGGUGCUGACUUUCAUACAGGUGCUGCAUGGCUGUCGUCAGCUCGUGUCGUGAGAGAAACCCUCAUUUUGUGUUGCUGAUACAUGCGCCUAAGGAGAAAGUCUUUGCAACCAAAGUGAGCCAAGUGACGUGCUAGCGCUACUAAUUGAGUGCCAACACCUAGCUGUACUGUCAGUAAGAAGGUAGUCGACGCCUUUCGAAGCACUUUCUAUUUCUACAUAGAAAGGUCCUUUAUCGCUUGGUUAGUGAAGUCAUGUUUUUGGCCUUAUCUUGUUGGUGACGACGACAUCGAGUUGACGGCAGAGAAAGACUCGGCAUUCAAGCGAGCCACCCGGUGGUGUGGUACAUAGUGGGUUUAGUAUGCCCCGCCCAAACAAAAGGCUCUAAAACAAACAAAAAGGUGCGUGACGCACUCAUGAAGGAUUGCCAUUGAUAUACUGGAGGAAGGUGGGGAUGACGUCAAGUCCGCAUGGCCCUUAUGGGUUGGGUCACACAUGUGAUGCAAUGCCAAUUACAAUGGGAAGCAAGGCUGUAAGGCGGAGUGAAUCUGGAAAGAUUGCCUCAGUUCGGAUUGUUCUCUAUAACUCAGGAACAUGAAGUUGGAAUAGCUAGUAAUCGCAGAUCAGCAUGCCGCAGUGAAUAUGUACCCGAGCCCUGUACACACCUCCCAUCACACCCUGGGAAUUGGUUUCGCCUGAAGUAUCGCACAAAUGAUCACCCAUGACUUAUGUGGCACACUAGUGCCCCAAUGGCCUUUGGUAGUCUUAUUGGUGCAUACCACUGUGGGGUCUUCGACUGGGGUGAAGUCGUAACAAGGUAUCCGUAGGGGAACCUGUGGCUG